CAACUUUCAACAACGGAUCUCUUGGCUCUCGCAUCGAUGAAGAACGCAGCGAAAUGCGAUAAGUAAUGUGAAUUGCAGAAUUCAGUGAAUCAUCGAAUCUUUGAACGCACCUUGCGCUCCUUGGUAUUCCAUGGAGCAUGCCUGUUUGAGUGUCACGUA
rnacentral:rRNA from 1 species